UACGAAGGGGGCUAGCGUUGUUCGGAUUUACUGGGCGUAAAGCGCACGUAGGCGGUUUGUUAAGUGAGAGGUGAAAUCCCAGAGCUCAACUCUGGAACUGCCUUUCAUACUGGCAAGCUAGAGUCCGGAAGAGGUAAGUGGAACUCCUAGUGUAGAGGUGGAAUUCGUAGAUAUUAGGAAGAACACCAGUGGCGAAGGCGGCUUACUGGUCCGGAACUGACGCUGGGGUGCGAAGGCGUGGGGAGCAAACAGG
rnacentral:rRNA from 1 species